UCUUGGUCAUUUUAGAGGAAGUAAAAGUCGUAACAAGGUUUCCGUAGGUGAACCUGCGGAAGGAUCAUUACAAAUGACUGGGAUGUCCUAUCGGACCCCCAAGCAAACACAUCUAUGUGUACUCUGCCAUGUUGCUUCCCCAGACCAGUGGCCACUGCUGCCAGCCCAGCCCCUAAUGGGUUCCUGGGUUGAGGUGUCUGGGGAAGGGCUCAAUAUCAAACUUUUCAACCCACUAGUCGUCUGAGAAGGCCAUGUGCCGCAAUAUUUAAACAAGUUAAAACUUUCAACAACGGAUCUCUUGGCUCUCGCAUCGAUGAAGAACGCAGCGAAAUGCGAUAAGUAAUGUGAAUUGCAGAAUUCAGUGAAUCAUCGAAUCUUUGAACGCACAUUGCGCCCUUUGGUAUUCCUUAGGGCAUGCCUGUUCGAGCGUCACUAAAAACCGACUCACAUAUCGUGUGGUAUUGGUAGAAGUGGAUAGUACUAACACUACUUUGUCUUACUCUGCUGAAAUGAAUAGGCCAGAAAAGUGGACCAUGGUAAUAGAUUCCAGGAGUGUUUUAAAAUGCUAUACUAGUCUUAUCCAAGUCAUAUUCUGAGCCACUGGACCCCCCAUUUAGUCCAAACAACAGUGGUUGACCUCGGAUCAGGUAGGGAUACCCGCUGAACUUAAGCAUAUCAAU
rnacentral:rRNA from 1 species